rnacentral:rRNA from 1 species
GACGAACGCUGGCGGCGUGCUUAACACAUGCAAGUCGAGCGAGAACCCGGGGCUUGCCCCGGGGGAAAGCGGCGAACGGGUGCGUACCACGUGGGCAACCUGCCCCAGACACUGGGAUAACUCCGGGAAACCGGGGCUAAUACCGGAUACUCCGGCCGAACCGCAUGAUCCGGCCGGGAAAGCUCCGACGGUCUGGGAUGGGCCCGCGGCCUAUCAGCUUGUUGGUGGGGUAACGGCCUACCAAGGCUUCGACGGGUAGCUGGCUGAGAGGACGACCAGCCACACUGGAACUGAGACACGGUCCAGACUCCUACGGGAGGCAGCAGUGGGGAAGUCUUGUCGCAAAUGAGCGAAAGACUUGACGCAGCGACGCCGCGUGGGGGA